rnacentral:rRNA from 1 species
GACGAACGCUGGCGGCGUGCUUAACACAUGCAAGUCGAGCGGUAAGGCCCCUUCGGGGGUACACGAGCGGCGAACGGGUGAGUAACACGUGAGCAAUCUGCCCAUCACAUCGGGAUAACUCCGGGAAACCGAAGCUAAUACCGAAUACGACCACCUCCGGCAUCGGAUGGUGGUGGAAAGUUCCGGCGGUGAUGGAUGAGCUCGCGGCCUAUCGGCUUGUUGGUGGGGUAACGGCCCACCAAGGCUUCGACGGGUAGCCGGCCUGAGAGGGUGACCGGCCACACUGGGACUGAGACACGGCCCAGACUCCUACGGGAGGCAGCAGUGGGGAAUAUUGGACAAUGGGCGAAAGCCUGAUCCAGCAACGCCGCGUAAGGGAUGACGGCCUUCGGGUUGUAAACCUCUUUCAGCAGGGACGAAGCGCAAGUGACGGUACCUGCAGAAGAAGCACCGGCCAACUACGUG